GUCGAACGCUCACCUUCGGGUGGGAGUGGCAGACGGGUGAGUAACACGUGGGAACGUACCCUUUGGUUCGGGACAACUCUGGGAAACUGGAGCUAAUACCGGAUACGCCCUUUUGGGGAAAGGUUUACUGCCGAAGGAUCGGCCCGCGUCUGAUUAGCUAGUUGGUGGGGUAACGGCCUACCAAGGCGACGAUCAGUAGCUGGUCUGAGAGGAUGAUCAGCCACACUGGGACUGAGACACGGCCCAGACUCCUACGGGAGGUAGCAGUGGGGAAUAUUGGACAAUGGGCGCAAGCCUGAUCCAGCCAUGCCGCGUGAGUGAUGAAGGCCUUAGGGUUGUAAAGCUCUUUUAUCCGGGACGAUAAUGACGGUACCGGAGGAAUAAGCCCCGGCUAACUUCGUGCCAGCAGCCGCGGUAAUACGAAGGGGGCUAGCGUUGCUCGGAAUCACUGGGCGUAAAGGGCGCGUAGGCGGCGUUUUAAGUCGGGGGUGAAAGCCUGUGGCUCAACCACAGAAUGGCCUUCGAUACUGGGACGCUUGAGUCUGGUAGAGGUUGGUGGAACUGCGAGUGUAG
rnacentral:rRNA from 1 species